rnacentral:rRNA from 1 species
AUUGAACGCUGGCGGCAUGCCUAACACAUGCAAGUCGAGCGGAUGAAGGGAGCUUGCUCCUGGAUUCAGCGGCGGACGGGUGAGUAAUGCCUAGGAAUCUGCCUGGUAGUGGGGGAUAACGUCCCGAAACGGGCGCUAAUACCGCAUACGUCCUGAGGGAGAAAGUGGGGGAUCUUCGGACCUCACGCUAUCAGAGGAGCCUAGGUCGGAUUAGCUAGUUGGUGGGGUAAAGGCCUACCAAGGCGACGAUCCGUAACUGGUCUGAGAGGAUGAUCAGUCACACUGGAACUGAGACACGGUCCAGACUCCUACGGGAGGCAGCAGUGGGGAAUAUUGGACAAUGGGCGAAAGCCUGAUCCAGCAAUGCCGCGUGUGUGAAGAAGGUCUUCGGAUUGUAAAGCACUUUAAGUUGGGAGGAAGGGCAGUAAGUUAAUACCUUGCUGUGUUGACGUUACCAACAGAAUAAGCACCGGCUAACUUCGUG